rnacentral:misc_RNA from 1 species
AAUUUGCAUGUACAAUUUGGACAAUGCCAAUCACAUGGGGGCAACAUCUGUACAUCGAGGCAGCUCUGAUGAAAUGUUGAUGGACAACCAUCACAACAUAUCAAAUCCCCACCAUCUCCACAAAAUCAUCAUUUGGAUCAUCACCGACAAUGUCUACAGAAUGAAAAUCAACGCGCUCAAUCGACUCCUGUCUAUUCCAUGCAUCAAUCUGGCACUCCAGAAGGGAAACCCCAGUAUCAAGAUAUAUAUUUUGAAAUGGUUGGCGUAGUUUGCUCCCUGCAUGGAUCUCAAACUUUGAAACUGUGAGGAUUUUACUACAGCAACCACAAUGAAUACCAUCUCUUGUAACCCAGCCCUCCAGCAUUACUUUUGUUCGUCGACGAUUCAUGUAGCGCACCUUUUGGCUCAACUGCACAAUUCCACAAUCAAUCAGCCAGGAGAGCAGUGUCCGUUUGCCAGCAUAUGGAACAAAGCCAUCACUCUCUGAGUUUAGCCCUUCAUUAGAAUUCCGUACCAACAAAGUACAUCUGCCAAGUUUUCUACUUUUUCUUCCUUGAUGAGAAUUGGAUCCAGAGGGUAUUUUCUCCAUGCCAUUAUGCAGUUGACGAGUAGAACUUUGACCUUUUGUGUUUACAUUGAGAUAACUGUUACCGUUUGUUCUACUCUUCAAUGACUUACCACCCUGUUUAAUGAAGGAGCUCAGUUUCUCUUCAUGGCUUCCACUGUCCAUGCUUUCCUCAUCAUGCCUGGAACUUGAAGACUUUCUUGCUGCAGUUUCUCGUGCAUUCUCACUUUCACCUCUUUGCUUCCUUUUCAUUUCUUUCUCCAUCUUCUUCCGAGUCUUCCUUGUAAGUUGGCUGAGCACCUCAUCUGAUAGUGGCGUAAAUGGAGAACUAUCAGCCUUAGAUUUUGCUUCCUCUUCCUCGUCAUUUAAUUGCUUUAGAAGUGCAUCAUA